rnacentral:tRNA from 1 species
GCAGGAGUUGCCAAGCCUGGUCAACGGCGCAGGCCUUAGGAGCCUGUCCUUUAGUAGGUUCGCAGGUUCGAAUCCUGCCUCCUGCA